CUAUACAUGCAAGUCGAACGCGCAGCGAAAGGUGCUUGCACCUUUCAAGCGAGUGGCGAACGGGUGAGUAACACGUGGAUAACCUGCCUCAAGGCUGGGGAUAACAUUUGGAAACAGAUGCUAAUACCGAAUAAAACUUAGUAUCGCAUGAUACAAAGUUAAAAGGCGCUACGGCGUCACCUAGAGAUGGAUCCGCGGUGCAUUAGUUAGUUGGUGGGGUAAAGGCUUACCAAGACGAUGAUGCAUAGCCGAGUUGAGACACUGAUCGGCCACAUUGGGACUGAGACACGGCCCAAACUCCUACGGGAGGCUGCAGUAGGGAAUCUUCCACAAUGGGCGCAAGCCUGAUGGAGCAACGCCGCGUGUGUGAUGAAGGCUUUCGGGUCGUAAAGCACUGUUGUAUGGGAAGAAAUGCUAAAAUAGGGAAUGAUUUUAGUUUGACGGUACCAUACCAGAAAGGGACGGCUAAAUACGUGCCAGCAGCCGCGGUAAUACGUAUGUCCCGAGCGUUAUCCGGAUUUAUUGGGCGUAAAGCGAGCGCAGACGGUUGAUUAAGUCUGAUGUGAAAGCCCGGAGCUCAACUCCGGAAUGGCAUUGGAAACUGGUUAACUUGAGUGUUGUAGAGGUAAGUGGAACUCCAUGUGUAGCGGUGGAAUGCGUAGCUAUAUGGAAGAACACCAGUGGCGAAGGCGGCUUACUGGACAACAACUGACGUUGAGGCUCGAAAGUGUGGGUAGCAAACAGGAUUAGAUACCCUGGUAGUCCACACCGUAAACGAUGAAUACUAGGUGUUAGGAGGUUUCCGCCUCUUAGUGCCGAAGCUAACGCAUUAAGUAUUCCGCCUGGGGAGUACGACCGCAAGGUUGAAACUCAAAGGAAUUGACGGGGACCCGCACAAGCGGUGGAGCAUGUGGUUUAAUUCGAAGCAACGCGAAGAACCUUACCAGGUCUUGACAUCCUUUGAAGCUUUUAGAGAUAGAAGUGUUCUCUUCGGAGACAAAGUGACAGGUGGUGCAUGGUCGUCGUCAGCUCGUGUCGUGAGAUGUUGGGUUAACUCCCGCAACGAGCGCAACCCUUAUUGUUAGUUGCCAGCAUUCACUUGGGCACUCUAGCGAGACUGCCGGUGACAAACCGGAGGAAGGCGGGGACGACGUCAGAUCAUCAUGCCCCUUAUGACCUGGGCUACACACGUGCUACAAUGGCGUAUACAACGAGUUGCCAACCUGCGAAGGUGAGCUAAUCUCUUAAAGUACGUCUCAGUUCGGACUGCAGUCUGCAACUCGACUGCACGAAGUCGGAAUCGCUAGUAAUCGCGGAUCAGCACGCCGCGGUGAAUACGUUCCCGGGUCUUGUACACACCGCCCGUCACACCAUGGGAGUUUGUAAUGCCCAAAGCCGGUGGCCUAACCUUCGGG
rnacentral:rRNA from 1 species